AGCCGACAGGCAGAAGCAACAGAAGGCCGAGCCAUUUCCGGCCCGGGUAACCAAUCCCCCGGUCCACACGACGCACCACCGUCACCCCCGCUCGGUGGGGUGGAAAGGGCCGCAGCGCGAUCCGGGUCUCCAGCCCGGUCAGCGUUCGGCUGGCGGGGGGCGCGGGCCUCGCUGCGGGAACUGAGCUGGGCUGACCCUCCGGCCUGGCUGGGAGGACCGGAGCUGAGCAGCGUCCCUGGACAUCUGGAGCUACGACGAGGAAGUUGAGGCCGGCUGCCGAGCCGACUGCUACUUAAGCGGCUAAACUCCAAUUCCUGGGUGCCUGGGUACCACCGGGUACUUGGAGGGCGUUAUACUCCGGUCCUGAGGCAGCAUCGGGAAGCGAUCUUAACGUCCCACCUCUUCAAAGCAAGAAAAUUAAGCACCCCAAAACUCGACUUAGCAAAUAUACAGUAGAUGAGGAGAAGAGCUUUUCAUCUGUAUAUGGAUUCGCACCUUAGAAUUCAUUUUCCCAUUUAUGUCACUGCAUAAUACACACCCUGUAAGAUGAGGAGACUGAAGGCCAGAAAGGUUAAUUCACUUGCCUAAACUCACAAAGCCAGGCUGAUGGAUGGUCUGAUGCCAGAGUCCAUGCUUUUAAGCACUGUGUCACUCUUCGUCAACCAAGAAAACAUCUGAUUCUGGAAAAGCUUCGAACUCUGUUGAAUAUGAGGAUAAAGUCAUGCAUACCGCAUGACCGACCUGGGUCUCAAGUGCAACCAGACUCCUUUCAAGAUAAUCGGGCGUUAACUCUGCCUCUUAUUUCCACUGCCACCCUUCAUCAGCAAACAGCAUGACUUCGAGCUCCCCAGAUGCAGUAUAUUCACAGGCUUGGUGAAUGCUGUCUCCUCCUCUUGCUCACUAUUUCCAGCACAACUGCUGAAUAAAUGGCUAAAA